rnacentral:rRNA from 1 species
AACGCUAGCUACAGGCUUAACACAUGCAAGUCGCGGGGUAACAUCUGGUAGAGCUUGCUCUUCCAGGAUGACGACCGGCGCACGGGUGAGUAACGCGUAUCCAACCUGGCCCAUACCACGGGAUAGCCCGUCGAAAGGCGGAUUAAUACCGUAUGCUGUCAUUAAGAUGCAUAUAUUGAUGACGAAAGGACUGGCGGUAUGGGAUGGGGAUGCGUCUGAUUAGCUUGUUGGCGGGGUAACGGCCCACCAAGGCGACGAUCAGUAGGGGUUCUGAGAGGAAGGUCCCCCACAUUGGAACUGAGACACGGUCCAAACUCCUACGGGAGGCAGCAGUGAGGAAUAUUGGUCAAUGGGCGCAAGCCUGAACCAGCCAAGUAGCGUGAGGGAAGACUGCCCUACGGGUUGUAAACCUCUUUUGUUUGGGAAUAAAGUGCGGGACGCGUCCCGCAUUGCAUGUACCAUUUGAAUAAGGACCGGCUAAUUCCGUGCCAGCAGCCGCGGUAAUACGGAAGGUCCGGGCGUUAUCCGGAUUUAUUGGGUUUAAAGGGAGCGUAGGCCGGAGAUUAAGCGUGUUGUGAAAUGUAGAUGCUCAACAUCUGCACUGCAGCGCGAACUGGUUUCCUUGAGUACGCACAAAGUGGGCGGAAUUCGUGGUGUAGCGGUGAAAUGCUUAGAUAUCACGAAGAACUCCGAUUG